UACGUAGGGUGCAAGCGUUUGUCCGGAAUUAUUGGGCGUAAAGAGCUCGUAGGCGGUCUGUCGCGUCUGCUGUGAAAACUCAGGGCUUAACCCUGAGCUUGCAGUGGGUACGGGCAGACUAGAGUGCGGUAGGGGAGACUGGAAUUCCUGGUGUAGCGGUGAAAUGCGCAGAUAUCAGGAGGAACACCGGUGGGCGAAGGCGGGGUCUCUGGGCCGUAACUGACGCUGGAGGAGCGGAAAGCAUGGGGAGCGAACAGG
rnacentral:rRNA from 1 species